AGCGAACGCUGGCGGCAGGCCUAACACAUGCAAGUCGAACGAACUCUUCGGAGUUAGUGGCGGACGGGUGAGUAACACGUGGGAACGUGCCUUUAGGUUCGGAAUAACUCAGGGAAACUUGUGCUAAUACCGAAUGUGCCCUUCGGGGGAAAGAUUUAUCGCCUUUAGAGCGGCCCGCGUCUGAUUAGCUAGUUGGUGAGGUAAAGGCUCACCAAGGCGACGAUCAGUAGCUGGUCUGAGAGGAUGAUCAGCCACAUUGGGACUGAGACACGGCCCAAACUCCUACGGGAGGCAGCAGUGGGGAAUCUUGCGCAAUGGGCGAAAGCCUGACGCAGCCAUGCCGCGUGAAUGAUGAAGGUCUUAGGAUUGUAAAGUUCUUUCACCGGGGACGAUAAUGACGGUACCCGGAGAAGAAGCCCCGGCUAACUUCGUGCCAGCCGCCGCAGUAAAAC
rnacentral:rRNA from 1 species